CGGUUUAAAUCAUUGCGAUUUUUGUAUAAAAUGAAAGUGUAAAAAUAUUCGAAUUAUCUUGAAGACUUCCAUGCAUUUUCCCUUUUAGAUUCCGGGGUAAUCCUGCGCCCUUCUUCGCAUUCCGUACUUCACGGUUCAAUGCACCGUGAUGACGUGAGUAGGAGUUAUUAAGUCACAAUGGGUGACGACUCAGUCGUGUUUUGCGGAGAAGGAGGUUCAUUUGACGGUGCCAGCCAGCGGAUGCGGAUCUACCUGGCCGACAGGCGGAGCGCCAAGGAUGCGACAGGAAAUUCAUCAAUGUCUUCACCGACUGUCGCCUGCAUUCAACUUGCCGAGUGCCGCAACAUUUUCAGGCAAAGCCAUGAAAUUGCCAAUGAUAUGCUGGAAAAUGAAUGCGAAGAGAAAGUGUGUGUAAGAGGGCGGCGGCUACGGAAAAGGGCCUCGAAAGGAUGCAGCUUUUGCAGAUGCAGAGGGCUGGGUAGGCGAAAAGGGAUCCUGUUAUUUACGGGCCAGAGAGACCGAAAGAAAUCCACAGAAACGGAAGCCGGCCGACUGACUUUUUCCCGCCAAGGGGAAAUUAUGAAUUUAGGCCAAUAUUGUGAAUACCUACAAAUAUCUACAACUAAAAUUAAGACUUUGUGCUAAAUAUGUUGGCCACCCAAUUGUUAGAUCCUAGGCUAUAAGGACUCUUUGCAAGGACCACAGCAAUUCAUAGCAGAUCCUUGGAUGGCGCCUAUCCGCUUGACAUAAAAGUCAAGUGUUGCUUCCCUCGAGUGUUGCAGCUCUCGCCCUUCUGUUUCCUGCCCCCUGUUGUCUGCCUCCUGCGUCCUGAUACGUAUCCUGCAGAGUGACAUCUGCUGCGUCAUCGAAAAGCUUCCUUUUUAUUUUAUUUUGUUUUUUAUUCUCCCAUUCCCCUGUGAAAGCCUCACCUACUGGCCUCCGAUUGCUAUCAAUCUUCAUCAAAGAUUAAUCUCCCAUCUGGCCUCAUGAAGCCACCAUGGCUAUGGAGUGGCAAAUAAGCCCGAUGAAUAGGGAAUUUUAAGGAUUCUCUGUAUUUCACAGCUGAGUUACUAAAAAUCACACUUGAACCGGAUAUACACGGCUUCGAAUAACAGAGUCCACUGCAAUUAUGCUGUGGUGGUCCAGAGGCCAGAGUGCUCGCCUCUCGAGGGCCAAUUAACGCUGAUUGCCUCAUCCGAACAUGACUUCCCAUGACCGUCAGCCUUUUCAGCUCAGCUCGGAAACUCUAUCCCGCCGGGUUCAUCCAAUACUGGACAAACAUCCGACCGGAGCGAUUUGCUCAACAAUGCAACAACUAACAAGCGCAAUGCGAUUAAGUAACGGAAGCAGCGGAAGUCAGCCCGGGGCUAUCCCGGAGGAGGGGAGGCGGAAAAACGUAAAUGGACAUGAUCCUUAAAAAACCCAUAAUGAAAAUUUGAAACUUAAAACUUUAAAUCAUGGCUAAGCUCAAGGCAGAGUCCUUU